rnacentral:rRNA from 1 species
CCUACGGGAGGCAGCAGUGGGGAAUCUUGCGCAAUGGGCGAAAGCCUGACGCAGCAACGCCGCGUGCGGGAAGAAGGCCUUAGGGUUGUAAACCGCUUUCAGUAGGAACGAAAAUGACGGUACCUGCAGAAGCAGGUGCGGCCAACUACGUGCCAGCAGCCGCGGUGACACGUAGGCACCAAGUGUUGUCCGGAUUUAUUGGGCGUAAAGAGCUCGUAGGCGGUUCAGUAAGUCGGGUGUGAAAACUCUGGGCUUAACCCAGAGCCGCCACUCGAUACUGCUGUGACUUGAGUUCGGUAGGGGAGCAGGGAAUUCCUAGUGUAGCGGUGAAAUGCGCAGAUAUUAGGAGGAACACCGGUGGCGAAGGCGCUGCUCUGGGCCGAUACUGACGCUGAGGAGCGAAAGCGUGGGUAGCAAACAGGAUUAGAUACCCUGGUAGUCCACGCCGUAAACGUUGGGCACUAGGUGUGGGUUCCAACCAACGGAAUCCGCGCCGUCGCUAACGCAUUAAGUGCCCCGCCUGGGGAGUACGGCGGCAACGCUAAAACUCAAAGGAAUUGACGGCNGAGACGNGCCGACGACGACGACGAGGGAGAGG